GACGAACGCUGGCGGCGUGCUUAACACAUGCAAGUCGAACGGAAAGGCCCUGCUUUUGUGGGGUGCUCGAUUGGCGAACGGGUGAGUAACACGUGAGUAACCUGCCCUUGACUUUGGGAUAACUUCAGGAAACUGGGGCUAAUACCGUAUAGGAGCUCCUGCUGCAUGGUGGGGGUUGGAAAGUUUCGGCGGUUGGGGAUGGACUCGCGGCUUAUCAGCUUGUUGGUGGGGUAGUGGCUUACCAAGGCUUUGGAGGGUAGCCGGCCUGAGAGGGUGACCGGCCACAUUGGGACUGAGAUACGGACCAGACUCCUACGGGAGGCAGCAGUGGGGAAUAUUGCACAAUGGGCGGAAGCCUGAUGAAGCAACGUCGCGUGCGGGAUGACGGCCUUCGGGUUGUAAACCGCUUUCGCCUGUGACGAAGCGUGAGUGACGGUAAUGGGUAAAGAAGCACCGGCUAACUACGUG
rnacentral:rRNA from 1 species